rfam:Trachymyrmex cornetzi contig31271, whole genome shotgun sequence.
GCAUUGCCGAUGUUGCCGGGAAGAUGACCAAACUUGAUCAUUUAGAGGAAGUAAAAAUCGUAACAAGGUUUCCGUAGGUGAACCUGCGGAAAGAUCAUUAACGUUCCGGAGGUCCUGCUCUGUGUGCGGAGAGAUGCCCGUCGUCCUACGUGACUCGAGCUCGCACGCGCGCAGCAGUCGGAGACUGUAUGGACAGAAGGAGAGAGAGGAGAAAAAUUGCGGAAUUGACGGUGUUGGCGGGUGGGUCCACGCGACGGUGGGUUACGCGCGCGAGAGAGCGUAUUUCUAUCCGAGGGCGCUUCUCUCCGUUGCGUGUCGCCCGAGUGUAUUGUCGUCGCCGCGUUCACGCUCUUUUCUCCCCCACAUGGGAGAGAGAGAGGCGGUGAACGCGCGGCGCGUGCACUCGCGGCGGCCGCCUUUUGGUAAGCUGCUUUUUGUAAGCAGAACUGGCGCUGUGGGAUGAACCAAACGCAGAGUUAAGGCGCCCAACUCGACGCUUAUGGGACACCAUGAAAGGCGUUGGUUGCUUAAGACAGCAGGACGGUGGCCAUGGAAGUCGGAAUCCGCUAAAGAGUGUGUACCAACUCACCUGCCGAAGCAACUAGCCCUGAAAAUGGAUGGCGCUGAAGCGUCGAGCCUAUACUCUGCCGUCAGCGGCAAGUGGGGCGGCCGCGUGCGCGUCGCGAGUCACGUUCUCGCAGCUCUGCAAAUAGAGAGAGAGAGAGAGAGGAGAGAGACACACGCCCGUUGGGCGAAAGGGAAUCCGGUUCCUAUUCCGGAUCCCCGCAGCGGAACCGCAUACAAUUCGGGCCCUCGUAAGAGUGUUCUUCGGGAUAACCCAAAAUGACCUGGAGACGCCGUCGGGAGGUCCGGGAAGAGUUUUCUUUUCUGUAUAAGCGUUCGAGUUCCCUGGAAACCUCUAGCAGGGAGCUUUGGAACGCGAAGAGCACCGCAAUUGCGGCGGUGUCCGGAUCUUCCCCUCGGACCUUGAAAAUCCAGGAGGGGUCGCGCCGGCUCAUACCCAUAUCCGCAGCAGGUCUCCAAGGUAAAGAGCCUUUAGUCGAUAGACUAAUGUAGGUAAGGGAAGUCGUCAAAUUGGAUCCCUAACUUCGGAAUAAGGAUUGGCUCUCAGGAGCGGGGCGUGUCGGGCUUGGUCGGGAAGCAGGUCUGGUUGACGUGCCGUGCCUGGGCGAGGUGAACGCUCGGGUGUUCUCGCGCCGGUUCCGGGAUCCGAGCUCGGUCCCGUGCCUUGGCCUCCCGCGGAUCUUCCUUGCUGCGAGGCUUCCGUGGCGGCGCGAGCUGUCGUGGUCAUCCUCUUCGGCUGCCAUUCAACGCUCAGCUCAGAACUGGCACGGAAUAGGGGAAUCCGACUGUCUAAUUAAAACAAAGCAUUGUGAUGGCCCUCGCGGGUGUUGAUGCAAUGUGAUUUCUGCCCUGAAUGUGCUCUGAAUGUCAAAGUGAAGAAAUUCAAGCAAGCGCGGGUAAACGGCGGGAGUAACUAUGACUCUCUUAAGCAUAGUUCUCUCCAUCUUUCGAUAAAGUCAUAGUAGGGACGAUGACGUGUAAUACAUAACCUCUCUCGUCCAAGUCGCACACCUACCUCCACGUGGUGCUCCUGGGCCCCUGCGCUUGCGAAGGGUGGCUAAAUGGUGUUGUGGCGUGUGAGCCCCUACGGGCUUUUUGCCCAAGUGCCGACGCCUAUAGUGAGUUGUGGGG